AUUCAACGCUGGCGGUAUACUUAACACAUGCAAGUCGAACGGCAGCACAGUAUGUAGCAAUACAUAUGGGUGGCGAGUGGCGGACGGGUGAGUAACGCGUAGGAAUCUACACUAAAGCGGGGGACAACCCGAGGAAACUCGGGCUAAUACCGCAUAAUCUCGAAAGAGUAAAGCUGGGGCAACCUGGCACUUUAGGAGGAGCCUGCGUCCGAUUAGCUAGUUGGUGAGGUAAAGGCUCACCAAGGCGAUGAUCGGUAGCUGGUCUGAGAGGAUGAUCAGCCACACUGGGACUGAGACACGGCCCAGACUCCUACGGGAGGCAGCAGUGGGGAAUAUUGGACAAUGGGGGCAACCCUGAUCCAGCAAUACCGCGUGUGUGAAGAAGGCCUUAGGGUUGUAAAGCACUUUAGUUGGGGAAGAAGGAUAGUUGUUUAAGAGAUGAUUAUUUUGACGGUACCCAAAGAAUAAGCACCGGCUAACUCUGUGCCAGCCGCCGCUGUAA
rnacentral:rRNA from 1 species